ACAGUGAAGGAGGCCUUCAAACGAACAGUCGGCAAGACCGUGCUGAAGAUUGAGCGCCUGCAGAAUGUCCAUCUGCGGUGCGCCUAUGAAGCUCAGAAGAAGCAAAUCUCUGACAAGUACAAACAGCAGGGUGGAGAAUGUGAAAAGCUCCUGUACCACGGGACGACCCAGGACAACUGCCAAUCCAUCGUAAAAACUGGGUUCAACAGGCGCUUUUCUGGGCAGAACGCAACUUCCUACGGGAAAGGAACAUACUUCGCUGUAAAUGUCAACUACUCUGCUUAACCCACCUACUCCAAGCCAGCUGCUGACGGUUCCCAGCUCAUGUUCGUGGCCCGAGUCCUGACCGGCAUCUACACUCAGGGCCGACGAAACAUGAGGGUCCCUCCUCCUGUCAGCGACCAGGAGGGCCACGACCGCUACGACAGCGUAGUCGACAGAAUGGACAACCCCCAAAUGUACGUUGUGUUUCAUGAUAACCAAGCGUACCCCGACUACCUCAUCACUUUCAAGUGAACGUGAGGAGAUAUGAUUUAUCAUCCCGUGUGGGAAUAUACAGGGAGAAGAAAUUAAAGAAAGUUAUAAUUUGGGGUAUGUUCACGUAAAGUUAUAUGGUGUAAGAGUUUUUUUUUUAGUCAUAAAUUAAUCAAUAUGAAUUUGCACACAAAUAUACACGUGGAUGUUCACAAUGUUCGUACAAAGUCUUAAAAGUUUGGACUAUGUCAGAUACCUGAUUUUUAAAUAUUAUCUGGUCUUUAUUCUACACCAGGGGUAUUCAACUAAAAUUCAACGAGGUCCAGUUAG